rnacentral:rRNA from 1 species
AGUGAACGCUGGCGGUAGGCCUAACACAUGCAAGUCGAACGGCAGCACAGUAAGAGCUUGCUCUUACGGGUGGCGAGUGGCGGACGGGUGAGGAGAACAUCGGAAUCUACUUUUUCGUGGGGGAUAACGUGGGGGAACUUAAGCUAAUACCGCAUACGACCUACGGGUGAAAGCAGGGGAUCUUCGGACCGUGCGGGGUUGGAUGAGCCGAUGUCGGGUUAGCUAGUUGGCGGGGUAAAGGCCCAGCAAGGGGACGAUCCGCAGCUGGUCUGUGUGACUGGUCGGCCACCCUGGAACUGAGACACCGUCCAUACUCCUACGGGAGGGAGCAGUGGGGAAUAUUGGACAAUGGGCGCAAGCCUGAUCCAGCCAUCCCGCGUGGGUGAAGAAGGCCUUCGGGUUGUAAAGCCCUUUUUUUGGGAAAGAAAAGCAGCAGGUUAAUACCCCGCUGUUCUGACGGUACCCAAUGAAUAAGCACCGGCUAACUUCGUG